AUUGAACGCUGGCGGCAGGCCUAACACAUGAAAGUCGAGCGGAGCGGCGGGGGGGCGAGUAACGCCGAGGAAACAGCUGGGUAGUGGGGGAGAACGUCAGGAAACGGGGGCUAAUACGGCAUAAUUGCAGAUGCGCCCAGGUCGGAUUAGCUUGUUGGUGGGGUAAAGGCCUACCAAGGCGACGAUCCGUAACUGGUCUGAGAGGAUGAGCAGUCACACUGGAACUGAGACACGGUCCAGACGCCUACGGGAGGCAGCAGUGGGGAAUUUUGGACAAUGGGCGAAAGCCUGAUGCAGCCAUGCCGCGUGUGUGAAUGAGGGCUGCGGAUUGUAAAGCACUUUAAGUUGGCAGGCGUUACCAACAGAAUAAGCACCGGCGAACUUCGUGCCAGCCGCCGCGGUAAUUC
rnacentral:rRNA from 1 species